AGAGCGCGCAGAGCAAGGCCGCCGCCAGCUCUCCCAGGAACCGUCGCGAGGCGUCCCCUCGGCGGCCGCCUCAGUUUCCCUGGCCGUAAAACGCGGGCGAUGGCGCUCGAUGCCCCGGGAGACGCCGGGGUCCGCGGGCCCUUCCGGCACCGGGUCCUCCUUCAGGUUCGGGCACCCGGCUGCCUCCACGCGGGGCGAGCGCGGCGAUGGGAUCGGUCCGUGCUGCGCUCAGCCCCGCUUUCGCUAUCCCUCUGCUCCAGGGGCAGCAAAAUCAGCAGAUGAGCCCCCAGCGCGCCUGCGGCCCACACACUGCGGCCGUAACAGUUAAACAGACGGGGAACAUUCAUGUGCGUAGAGCUCUUCACGGGGCGAUACAGAAAUGUGUCGUUCUAAAGCGUUAACGACCUGCAAUUUGCAUAUCCUCCAACACAUGGAUUUUACUGAUUCAAUUAUGGAUGUGUGCAAAGAAUCUGCUGCUCGCACCCUGUGAGGAGGGUUACCUCUGUGGAGCCGGUGAAGGCGAUCUUGUUGAUCUGAGGGUGAGAAGAAAUUGCUGCUCCCACUGUGGGCCCGAAUCCUGGCACAAUGUUCACCACUCCUGGAGGGAACCCGGCCUGGGAAGAAAUCAAGAUAGCACUUGAAGAAGAACGGACUUCAUCCACCACGGAUCCACAUUUGGGCCGAGAGAGCCGUGGCUGCCUCACAUCCCCACAGGGAACCCGGGCCGGGCUGGAUUUACCCAGGACCCAGAAGCAGUUGACCGUGGGCACCCUGGGAGCUGACCUGGGCUUCUCAUCCCCUGCUGCCAGCCCAGUGUGCAGGCUGGGCAAGGGGAGAUGCCCACUUCUCCUUCUGGGGGGGGACCCCAUCCCAAAGUGAUAUGCAGUGCAAAUGUGUGGUUAUGCUUCAAGGUGGCCAUGGCCCGCCUGUAGCACAGCACCUUUCCAUGUGGGGUGUGUGUGUGUGUGAGGGAGAGUGUGUGUAUGCGUUAAGGGGAGAGGGGUACCUUGAUCAGAAUGCCCUGCCCAGGAUCAGAGGCACCUGCAAAAUAUCUGCCAAGAGCUUCAGUUUUGUUUUUUCUUCUUUUUUUUUUUUUUGAGAUGGAGUCUUGCUCUGUCGCCCUGGCUAGAGUGUAGUGGCGCGAUCUUGGCUCACUGUAAGCUCCGCCUCCCAGGUUCACGCCAUUCUCCUGUCUCAGCCUCCUGAGUAGCUGGGACUACAGGUGCCCGCCACCACGCCUGGCUAAUUUUUUUUUUUUUAAGUAGAGAUGGGGUUUCACUGUGUUAGCCAGGAUGGUCUCGAUCUCCUGACCUCGUGAUCCACCCACCUCGGCUUCCCAAAGUCCUGGGAUUACAGGCGUGAGCCCAGUUUUCAUUUUUUAAUCAGACCCGUUAUUAUUCCAAAUGGUGACAGGGUAUCACUCCCUUAAAGUUCUUUGCUUGUUCAACCUGGGUCUCACCUGGAGCAAGCCCUUCUGGAAGGCAGGGACUGCCACCUCGUUCACGUUCAUGCCUCGUGUUUUUCAUAUACUAAGCCUCUUUAUCAGGCGAGAACACAAAACAAACGAGGUGGAGGAUGCUCUUCCCCACCUGUGCUGAGUCUUACUUAGAACACAUUAUUUCAGAAAAUCAAGAUUUUAGGCACGCUGCUUGAGUCUUUAGAUUUUUAGGCACUGUUUCUUAACAGUUGGGAUUUUCACAUUCCUAAGUCUCACCAGUGUGACUUAAUUAUGCCCCACAUCACCAAAGGAAAGUGGAAAAUUGGCUCAUCACCAGCUGUUCCCACCUUGCUUCUAAGCAACUGUGGACCUGCCUGCCGGUCAUAUCAGCCCGACUAAGAAGAGAAAGGAAUGGAUCUUUUCUUCUGUCCCUCUUUGCUUCCUGUUGCUUUCUCUAAAUCUUUGCUCCAUACAACCUGGGGAUGGAAUGACUAAAGGUAUGUCUGGAAGGAGGUGUCCCAUUGAGCCUCUGUUUCCCUAAGUUCUGGCUGCCUGAGGGAGAAGAGAUUGCAUUCAGAGCAGAGGGCACUGAUUAGCAGGGACCCGGCACACGGACUGCUGCAGCCGCCCAGCUAGAGCUGACGAGGCCACCUCUCCAGAGAAAAAUGGACCAUUUCAUAAACUGAGAAUGCAAAUCCCAGAGAACCUCCCAAAUAUUUGGCUCCCUCUUGGUUGACCCCCCCUGAAAAUUCUCUAGACAAACCACUGGGUCCUCAACCAUAGGUUUGAGCCCAUAAUAAGAGUUAAGCAUUCUCAUUAGGACCACUGGGAGGAAUGGAGUUUCUCCAGCUCAGUGGCCACAAGCAGGAGAAAGAACGUGCAGUCGCCAAACAAAACACUGGAAGUCAUUCCCUUCCCACUCGAUUGCCAGCAGUCUGCCACUGUCCCAUCUCGUGACGGUGGCCUGGUUCCUAGGAGUGGGAAUGUUACCAAGAACAUGUGAUAUUUUCUUUUUGGAUGUCUCACCUCUUUGAUCAGAGAGCCGAGAUAAAGGGCGGUGAGAGGUGUCUGCUCCGCAGGCUUCAGGACCAUGGUGUUCCCACAGCAGAGGGCGGGUGCCAGCUUCCACACCAGCAUCAGCAGGGGGAAGUUCCACUGCGACAGAGCACAGGGGCUUUGGAGGCCCAGAUCCACCCUCUUACCCUGUCCCAUGUGCUCAACGAUGCCUUUGUGGAGGACACUUGCUUUUCAUGGUCUGGAUUUGGGGUAUGUGGGGUAACAUAGGAGUGUGCAAUGAUCAGAACUGCAAUCCUGCACAGCACUUCCUAAACUGCAUUCUGGGUGGUACUAAUAGGCAGCCUUUGCAAAGAGGAUGCUGUUGCAUGUGUUCUACCUCUCCCUCUAAAACAUCUGCUGAAGACGUGUCCUCCUCCCUGCCUCCAUGGGCACUUUUUGAACCCUCACUUCAUGUUGCCACCUGGCUCUUCAGCUUCCUGCCUGGCUGUUGUUGCAAUGGCCAGAGGCUUCCCAAACAGACAGGCAGCAUUGUUGCACUUCUUGGGCACCUAUAAGCAUCCCCACCGCCCAAUGAAUAAAGUCCCGGCCCCUUAGCAGCCAAAGCUGCUGGAAGCUGGCCCACACCACCUGCCACGUGUGCUCACCCUUUUCCUCACUUUUGCUCCUGCCUGAGCUCUAGCCCCACCAGCUUUCCUGCUGUUCCCUUCCAAGUAGCCCAGCCACCUCUGCACUUUUGCCUAGGCCAUUCCCACUCCUUGGAAAAUCCUUUUCCUUGUUGAACAAGUCUUUCUUAUCUUUAAGGCCCAGCUAAGAGACCACCUUCCUGGGAAUGCUGGCCAUUCCUGACCACUCUGGCUGGGAACCACAGUGCUUUCUGUGGCAUGCCUAAAGCCGGUCUUAGGAGAGCAGAAAUGGGGUCUAAUCCAUCUCAAGAGCCCCCAAGCAUGGAGUUCCAUGCCACGAAGAAAAUGCUUGUUCAACGCUGGUGCAAUCAGAUAAAAACACACCAGAAAUUGAUUCCAAAGGACACAGGGCAGUGGGGCAGGAUCUACAUAGAAUCUACUGAGAAAGGCUGCCAUACUUACUGGAGUGAUGGCCCCACAGACACCAAUGGGCUCAUGCCUGGUGAAGCACACGACGUUGUCAUCUGGAAGAGGGUUACAUGGUGGGGAAGGACACACUCACUUAGUCCAGGUUAGGAACUUCAAGUAGUAAAAAGACAAGAAAGAAACC
rnacentral:lncRNA from 1 species